rnacentral:rRNA from 1 species
UCCGAGGUGAACCUGCGGAAGGAUCAUUG